AGCUCCACAUUUCACUUUGCUGCUCUUGCACUCUGCUUUACCCCUGUCUUGUCCUCUUUGGCACAAUGUCCACUUGCAUCAAUCUGAGGUCUAUUUUUGGAAUGAACAUGAGAUUCCUGGGACCUCUCCAAAAACUUAACUCGGGCCACUCUUUUGAUCAUGGAGCAGAUAAGUAUAUUUCUGUGCUUGCCUUUAUGAAUUAUUUGCCCUGAGAAAGCAACUGGGAUUUUGUUCAUGGCCAUGAGAGCUUGCAGAAUUUCUUUGGGUGGCCUGCAACAGGGAUGCCCAGGAUGUCUGAAGGGUUUUGGUGCCUGCUUUAGCAAUAUUGGUCUGAGGUGUGGCCAUUUUCUGAUCAAACCUUUUUUUGGUGGGGAACUUGAACUUGUGACAUCUGAAUUUCGUGGCAUUUUAAGUUGGGAGUUGACUUUUCCUAGGGAAAGUUUUAGUGCUCUUGUGGGAAAAUGAGAGCAUGGCCAAUCUAAAUACUAAAUAAAGUCACAUAUUGCUUGAAACAGUUUUUCUGUGCUCAGUGAAGUGGCCAGUUACUCUGUGUUGCUCUCUUGCUCUACAGAAAACUCCACCCUGCCCUGCAGUUGUGUCAUCCUGAGCUCUGACAUUACAUGGUCUGGAUUUGGACAGCAGGAACCAAAGGUCUUGGAUUGUGUCCGUACUUCUGAUUUCAGAAGGAUGCCCUUACAGACACAAUUUCUCUGCCUUGUGCUGGAUUUCUGUGGAGAGGUUGUCAAAGAAGUUCAAGGAUUUCUUACAUGCAUUGUCCAUUGGAUGAACUCAACUCUUCUCUUGGCCUUCAGAUCUCUUCACUUUUCCUGAUGUGCCCAACUGGAAUUGCAGGCCGUGGUUUUUCUCUGGAGAUUUCCUGAGGGUGUGCCAGAUACUUGGUCCCUUUUCCCAAGCUGGGCAGAGAUUUGGGAUUCUCCUUGACUUCACCAUGAAAGAGCUUGAAAAACUGGGUCCCAAAGUGAAAUGGCUCAGACCCAGCUUAUUCUAGGAGGAAUCCUGGCCAGGAGCAGAGCCUGGACACUUGGAUGCUGCUGCUGAGGAUGAGUGGGAUUGUCCCAGUUCACCUGGUGGGGCUGCAAGGGGAUCCAUGAGGCGCCUCAUGAGAAGCACGAGGUCUUUGCUGAGCAUCUGGGCUGCCUCUGCAUCCUUGGAGAACAACAAACAUCCCUGGGGACCCCACAAAUCUUCAGUUCAUGGCUGAGAGACUGGAAAAGGACCUCAGCCUUUAAUUGAGGGAGGGCUGUUCCCAUGCAAAUGUUCUGCUACACAACCCAACCCUGACCUGCUCAAGUGACCUCAGGAGCUUUGGGUUGAGAGAGAAGGAGGAAAAACGUGACCAAGCUCUGCAAUGCCCCUCUGGGAGAAGGGAGCUGCUUAGUCCCCUGCUCUGAAUUUUCUGAGCCUCUGUGUCCACCUUUAAGGGUACCAAGAGCAUCACCAGCCCCUAAAUGAAUGGUUUUAAAACCCAAGCUGGAUGAAGGCUGGGAGGGUUUUGUCUCGAAUUCCAGACUGGGAAGCCCAUCAGUGCAGCUGAGCGAGGGAUGAAGGAGAAGAUGCUGAGGGAUGUGUAAACCACUUUGCAAGAUCAUCCCAGAAAAGGAACUAAAGCAGCCAAAAAUUAGGGAGGAGGAGGACAUCAGGAAGCCUCAUAAUCCUUGCUGUGUUGCCAAAUAAUGCAAAUGUGAAAGCUGCCAGAAAGAACUGGGAUCAGAAGUGUUCAUUUCUAAUCAGUCUGGGAAAUUAUACAAAAAGAUCACAACAACACAUGCUUACAGGAUACUCCUCCAGUUUGUCUCUCCGAUGCUGCAGCCUGGAGACAAGUGAUUUCUGCAAGGAGGCUGUGCAAACAUCAUGUGCUGCUGCGUGGAAAGCAGGGGAGGAGGCCAGGAGCAACAGGACACGGGAAGGAGCAUCCGGAACCCACUCCUGACUCCCUUGCUGUGUUUUCUGCUGGGUUCUGCCCUGUUCCAUUCCAGAGGGAAGCUGUUUCCAGGCGCUGGGAGCAGCCCCGCUGGAGGUGCAGGAAACAAGCCCAGCCCUGCUGGCUGAGCUAAUGACAGAGCUGAAGAAGUGUCAACACCGCAGCCCAGAAAGCUCGAGGUGGCAGGAAUGUUGCUCACAGGGGACAUGGGAGUCACAGCAAAUACUCUCCUCGAGGCUGGUUGCUCCUGACUAAACAGAGUUUUCAGCAGGAAAAGCCAAAAUCUUGCCCAGAGGCAGUGGAGUGCUCCAGAUGAGUCCCAUGCCUACUCUGGCUACAGCGGUGAGGGGGAUUUUAUCUUCUGUGACUUCACCUCCCAUAAAGUUUGAGUGGAAGUCACCUAAACUGCCCGUGAGCUCCGUGGAGGGAGGUUGGCACUGAUGUGGAGUUCCUCUGAGGUCCCUUGGACACCUGAGUUUGGGAUGAAUCACCCUCUGGACACAGCAGGAGAGGAAACAGCCUCAAUUUUCUUCAGGGGUUGCAGAGAUACUGAUUUUUUUCCAAUCCGUGUGUGAAAUCUUAGUCUGGGAUGGUGAAAAUCAGGGGAACUGAGUGAUGGUGAUCUGGAGAAGGGGCUCUGAUGCAACCUCGUGGUUCUCUGAUGGACAAAAUCUGGAUGAACAUGUGGGAACAACUCAUCCCGAGGGCAGUGAGGGGAGAAUGAGGGGAAAAAAAUGCAAGUUUGAUUAUUUUAUGAUUUCUUCCCCAUGUUUUGGUUCUCUGGACAGCAUAUUCCAAUGCUGUGUUUUCCAGUUUCUAUUCAGUGUUGGAUAAAUCAACAGCUUGGAGGAAUUUGGGAUGGAUUGUUCCAAGAUGGAGCAGACCUCAGCCCAAACUAGCAAUUAUUUGAGUUUGGAUUUUCUCAUAUAAGCCCAGAGUAGGAAAAACUUGCUAUCUUUGUAGGAAAUAAAUGGAAAAAGAACAUUUCCCUGCCUUAGAGUGAAACACUGCUAAAAUCUCACCUGUGGAACGCAAUAUAAAUUCAUUAAAGUAAGCCCCAUCAUAAUUUUGGUGGGUGAGGUGGAAUUUCACAAACGAGUUGAUGUUUUCAUGGGUUGAUUGUGCCAGAUAUGAUCUCUAUUGAAACUCUUAAAUUUUCAGACAGAGGCUGAUGUUCCCACAAAUUUGUCAGUUUUGCUACCUGGGACAUAACUU